rnacentral:rRNA from 1 species
CAGUUAAAAAAGCUCGUAGUUGAAAUUUGGGACUUUAUUAUAUUGGUUUAUCUUUUUGAUGAACUGUAUAAUGGGUUUCUUCCUACUAGAGUUCGAUUCUGUUCUUAACUGAAUGGAGUAGCUAUCUUUCGGGGUGGUCAAUUGGUUGUUAUAUCUCCACUAAUAAGCAGAGAGGGGUUAAACCUUUGAAGUAAGUUAUGUGGAUCAAGGUAUGAUGAUUAAUUGGAGUUCUAGUUCAUUUACUUUGAGAAAAUUAGAGUGUUUAAAGCAGCCUCUUGGGGCACUGAAUACAUUAGCAUGGGAUAAUAAAAUAGGAUCUUCACAAUAUAUUUUAUUGGUUUAAAUUGCGUAUGAAGAUAAUGAUUAAUAGGGACAGUUGGGGGGUAUUCAUAUUGGGUGGUUAGCGGUGAAAUGCUCGGAUCCAUUCAAGAUGAACUAAAGCGAAAGCAUUUACCAAGGAUGUUUUCAUUAAUCAAGAACGAAAGUUAAGGGAUCGAAGACGAUUAGAUACCGUCGUAGUCUUAACUAUAAACUAUGCCGACCAGGGAU